GACGAACGCUGGCGGCGUGCUUAACACAUGCAAGUCGAACGGAAAGGCCCUGCUUGUGUGGGGUGCUCGAGUGGCGAACGGGUGAGUAACACGUGAGUAACCUGCCCUUGACUGUGGGAUAACUUCAGGAAACUGGGGCUAAUACCGGAGAGGAGCUCCUGCUGCAUGGGGGGGGUUGGAAAGUUUCGGUGGUUGGGGAUGGACUCGCGGCUUAUCAGCUUGUUGGUGGGGUAGUGGCUUACCAAGGCUUUGACGGGUAGCCGGCCUGAGAGGGUGACCGGCCACAUUGGGCCUGCGAUACGGCCCAGACUCCUACGGGAGGCAGCAGUGGGGAAUAUUGCACAGUGGGCGGACGCCUGAUGCAGCAACGCCGCGUGCGGGAUGCCGGCCUUCGGGUUGUAAACCGCUUUCGCUUGUGACGAAGCGUGAGUGACGGUAAUGGGUAAAGAAGCACCGGCUAACUACGUG
rnacentral:rRNA from 1 species